GCCUGGGUGGCUCAGUCGGUUGAGCAUCCGACUUCAGCUCGGGUCAUGAUCUCGCGGUCCGUGAGUUCGAGCCCCGCGUCGGGCU
rnacentral:tRNA from 1 species